rnacentral:rRNA from 1 species
GGCUCAGGAUGAACGCUGGCGGCGUGCUUAACACAUGCAAGUCGAACGGUGAAGCAGAGCUUGCUCUGUGGAUCAGUGGCGAACGGGUGAGUAACACGUGAGCAAUCUGCCCCUGACUCUGGGAUAAGCGCUGGAAACGGCGUCUAAUACCGGAUACGAGCUGCGAAGGCAUCUUCAGCAGCUGGAAAGAAUUUCGGUCAGGGAUGAGCUCGCGGCCUAUCAGCUUGUUGGUGAGGUAACGGCUCACCAAGGCGUCGACGGGUAGCCGGCCUGAGAGGGUGACCGGCCACACUGGGACUGAGACACGGCCCAGACUCCUACGGGAGGCAGCAGUGGGGAAUAUUGCACAAUGGGCGAAAGCCUGAUGCAGCAACGCCGCGUGAGGGACGACGGCCUUCGGGUUGUAAACCUCUUUUAGCAGGAAAGAAGCGAAAGUGACGGUACCUGCAGAAAAAGCGCCGGCUAACUACGUGCCAGCAGCCGCGGUAAUACGUAGGGCGCAAGCGUUAUCCGGAAUUAUUGGGCGUAAAGAGCUCGUAGGCGGUCUGUCGCGUCUGCUGUGAAAACCCGAGGCUCAACCUCGGGCCUGCAGUGGGUACGGGCAGACUAGAGUGCGGUAGGGGAGAUUGGAAUUCCUGGUGUAGCGGUGGAAUGCGCAGAUAUCAGGAGGAACACCGAUGGCGAAGGCAGAUCUCUGGGCCGUAACUGACGCUGAGGAGCGAAAGGGUGGGGAGCAAACAGGCUUAGAUACCCUGGUAGUCCACCCCGUAAACGUUGGGAACUAGUUGUGGGGUCCAUUCCACGGAUUCCGUGACGCAGCUAACGCAUUAAGUUCCCCGCCUGGGGAGUACGGCCGCAAGGCUAAAACU